UCUGACAGGGGUCUAGUUCUCUUAUGCUUUUUCAGGGCGAUGAGCAUACGCCGUGUUCUUCCAUUGUGGCGAAUCACAAGUGCUUGUGGAAUAACUUGUGUAGCUUAAGAAGUUACUGCCCUCCAGCUGACAGGUGAUAACUUUGUGUGUGCCCCCAAUUGUUUUAAUGCAAAGACGACAGGGUUUGCUUAAAUGACUCUGAGAAUCAAUAACUUCUAGAGCUCUGUGAACUACCCAACUAUUCCUCCAGCUACACCUUAAUUUCCUAAGAUUUCCUAAGAUUGCAAAAGAAAGGUAGAAAUAAGCAGACCUGGCUAUUCCAGAGCACUAAUCUCUCUGAUCAUCUCAUAGAGGCAAGCUGAAAGUACCGAUAGGUAGAAACUGUGAAAAAAGAGAAAUACUAAGUUAUACUUUUAGUCCUUUUGAUGUUGUUGCCAUUGACAUUUCCAACUGUUCAUAUUUUGGCUUCAGCACAAAUACAUGACUUCAGGUAGAUGUUUGUUUUUGUUUUCUGAAUGAAGUAAGUAUCUGAGUAGAUUUUUCCAUUUAUAAUUGCACUGAAGUUCUGAGUAUCAUACAUUACUACAGGAUAAAGCUUCGGGUGAGAACACACAGAUUACUCCGUACUUGCGGUCCAUGUGCAAGAGUCUGGCUUAAAAUAGAUGCAGGGUGCCUUACCCUGUUUUCAUGGGGACCACAACAGUUACUAGAGAAGCAGCACAUCAGCUUGUUGGGUACCCAGUGGCACCCGCAGUUCCUAGUGAGAUGCCCUGGAAAGUGUUCAGAGCGGGAGCUCAGGUAAUACUGAAGUAAUUUAAGUCGGAAUGAACAUCUAAGUACUUCGUGCCUGGAGGUGCAAUUUUUAACAGAAAUCUGGAGCUGAGGUCUUCACUAAUGGCAGAGAUCGGAGUCCUAGCAGUAAGCCCCAUUCUUCCCUUCGACUGGUAAGAAAUGCGGGAAUAGCUCCAUACAGCCAGGCCAGCGUGUGGGGAGCUUUGAAACUUUUCAGAAAAGGGGAUUAUUUUUUGAUACUCUUAAGUAGGGAAGCAGAGUUUAAGAACAAAUGAAUGAACAAGCUGAAAAAAGUGUGGUGUAGAAGGCAGCAAUCCCUUCCACCAGCUGUUAACCCAAAGAAGCAAAGGUUCUUACAGGUGAGCUGUGUUUUUGGCCUGGGUAGAGGACAAAAGCUCCUUCACAGGAGGAAAUGUGGGAGAAGGAGGAGGAUUACGUUGCCAAGAAAGAGGUAGGACAAAGGGAAGCAGGGGGAAGCUGAGCAAUGGGUUGUCUAAUUUGGUAGUCUGAGAAGCACUAAUGUUGUGGGUAAAGGGGAACGGAGGAGUGUGAAGAGAGGCAGGUACAACACAUCGGCGCUAGAAGACAAGAGGAAAGUAACAGCAUUUUUAAACCCACAUUUGUAAGUCUUUUCUGUAAGAAAUCCUUUUCUAAACGGCUGUUAUUUGAUCGUAUAGGAAAGAGAGAUGCUAUAUCUCACAGCAUGAAAUGUCUAUCUCUGGAGUAUUAGUAGUUAAGACCUUUCCGACACCUAAUUUAGGUACGCUGGAAGUCAAACGGGGACAAACUCUUCCUGGAAAUAGAUAAAGAUUUCCAGCUGAUGACCUUCUCUUAAGUUAGAGCCAAGACUUCAACAUGUAAUGGCAAAAACGAAAGGAAUGAAGGCGCACAUCUCUGCUGCUGGUGAGAUGGGCAGCUCGCAGCCGGGCUCUGAGACACUCCUGUUACUGGCGGUGCUGCGUCUUGCCACAGAACUGGUGAUGGUCCUUUGGCUCUCUCCCCUGGCCACCUGGUGAGUGGCACACACGCUACCGGCUGCUAGGGGACAUUUAACAGAAGUUCCUUAAGUGCUGCGAGAAUCUCUGUAUGAGGAUGCGCUGGAGCUGAAAUGGAAAGGGUACUUCACCUGGCUUCAAACAGUGAAGACCCUUUUUAUUAAGCUUUCCGUGUAUGCUUUUGUAUUCCUCACCUUUUUUUUUAAUUUAGCUGCUAGCUAGAAGUACAGACAGGCUUUUUGGCACAGUCAGGUGUGAUUGAUUUCAGCGUAUCCGCUUAAGCGCAGCUCUUCAGCGUUGCUUUGUGUGCGCGUGGUUCCUCCGCGUUGUUCUGAGACCCGGUUGUGCUUCAGAGGUGGUAUGGAAUCUAUGCGACGAGCUCUGCUUCUUACAAGAGGCAGCCUCUCCCUGCGGGUUUCUACAGCUAAGUGUCGGAGAGGUGAGGUUCCCGCCUGUAACCGAAAAUCUCAGAUCAUUCUCUAGGUCUAUGCAAUCUUGCUCUUCAACAUGCUGCUUUAUGCCGACCUAGUUAAUUACUGCGCGGGCGAGAAAUGUUUUUACUGGUGGUGUUGGAGGUGUGUGGAGCUUUGGUCAGGUUUGUAACAUCUGAAAUGGACAAAGGAACGCUAAAACAUUGAAGAAGUUAGGAUCUAGCUGUACUCCUAGGCUUUUUUUUUUUUUCUUCACUGAAAAACAUUAUUUUGUCCAUGCGUGGGAGCGGGACUAGCUCUUACAUCUGAAGCUGGUGGCUCAUGUAGAAGGGUCCAGGCUUACCUCAUCCUUGGCAAGCAGCAACUCUUCUAGAUGCGUGAAUGGAACGAAACCGUAGAGUGAAGUGAGCGCGCUUUAUACAGAUGGCAUCGAGACAUAGACAGCCAUGGUAUUGCUGAUAAUACAGACAUAACCACAAACAGUUUUAUUUUUCAAAUAACCACUAUUGUAAGUUACCGGGCAGACAGGAUAAUGCUGUGUAAUCCACAGCGGAAAAAAAUCUAACCGUGAGUUGCAAUUCGGAAUAAAGAUCUGAAUAUCAAAAUUUCUGGGUUGUGGCAAGAAAAAUUGAAAGGGGAAUCCCAUCCCAGAGACCACAGGUUUUGCUACUGUUUCUUGGACAAAGUCCGUCCUGCUUAGCAAAGGGUUCUGUGCCUUCACACAACUCAUCUGGGUAAAGCGUGCUGCAAGGAAGGCUGAGCUCUUGGCAUCCUCUGCUAAUUGAUUUCACCAACUUUAGGGCUUUGGAGAAUUACAUCUGAGCUGAUCAGGGAGCCAGGGGCAGCCCAGAGUUGAUGAGAAAGCGGAGAGGUGCCGGAAGCCUCAGCCCUUACUCACCGUGACAUGUGCAGCAGGGAUCGCAGCGACGCGUGAAGAUUGUCACAGCCGGAACAGGCUAAAUUCAAUUUCUGCCUCGUAGAGACAGUUCAAAUAGCAGGUAUUAAGCUUAUUAAGUGAAAAAGAUCCAAGUGACGCUAUCUACUUCUGAUCUAAUUGUUCUCCAAGAGAGAUAGUGUUUUAAUAAGCUUGCAACAGCUUCUGCCUUUCAGCAAAUUAAAUAAGUGGGUCAUUUCUUCCUCCAGCUAGCUUGAGGGUGAGGGAAAACUGUCACUGCUAAAGCUAAUGCAGCUUUUAUUCACGAUUAGAGCGAGGGGUCUGUUGAGACUUUUUUUAGCCUUGCUGUGCUUAUAAGGGAGACAGCCACAAGAAGAGCUUUGAAGACACUUUUACUGUAGGAGUCAUACUGCUACGUAGGGAAAAAAAAAAUAAAUUUAAAAGCCUUCCUGCUUCUUCCUGUGAAAAAUAUUUAGUGUACUGAUAUUUAUAGCAGGCAAAAGCAUUACGGUGCUGCAGGCCUGCCUCUUGCUGAAUAAAACAAAGCAAGAGCAAUGUUUCGCUUAAGUUUUCCAAAAGACUCUGUCUGCAAAAUGUAUUUUAUAACAAGUACUGGGAUAAAAGGGUGAGGCCGACUGGGAAGCUGCCUGUUAAUUUCUGCAUCUUGUCUACCUUUUGUUAAAGCACAGCAGAAAGGGUUCCCUGUUGUGCUAUGGCAGGGAUGUGUGAUUUUCGGAGUGUGAUGAUAUUAAGAAUUGCCUUGUGAUGGGGAGAGUCCCCAGCCUUUUCACAGUUAUUCCACCCUCCCCUCGCCUUCAAAAUUACCCUUUAAGGACAUGAAGCAGUGAACAUCUACUGUCACGUGUCCAGGGUGAAAGAAGAGGGUGAAAUAAGAAUCCCAGCCCUUUCCACUUCAGAAAAGCUCUGCAGUGAUGGCAGAAUCGCGCAAAUCAUGCUGUUUCUCCACAGUUUGGUUUCUUUCGUCGGAGAAUUAGCGUUGAAAGCAAGGAUCUGAGUAGAAUGGUGUAAGAAUCGUCCACAUACCAAAUAUCAUUGCUCCGUGACAGCGGUGGUGGGAGUUCUGUAGCUGUGAUGGUUUAGCUCCUGCUGGUAAACAAAGCCUGCCAUAAUCGGUGCUGUGGCUCUGUGCCCUGGCAGGGGUGACACAGUGCCUCGCUGAUGGACACCCUCGGCUGGCCUUAGGAAAAGGGAGCUGCUUAUGCAAAAGUAAAACGGAAGUUAAGGGCUCUUUCUUGUUGUCGGGUGGUUUUUUUGUUCGUUAGGGAUGUUUUUUGUUUUAGUUUGUUUAAAUACAGAUCUAAGUACAGUACUAUCCUUGCUUGCAAGUCACGGCUUUCUACCACAAGUGUAGUUUCUUCCAGAACCUGCCAAAAGGGCCUGAAUAGAAAUUCCAUCCUCUGGUGUGACUGGUUGUGGUAGGCGAACAAGGAUUUGACUUACUAAAGACCAUUUGAGGGAAGAUCCUAAGAGAAGAGAACCCUAAAGGAACAGCACUGCAGCUCAUCCCCUCAGAGAGCAACUGAGGGCAGCCAGCACCGUGAGCAGGAAGCUGUUUCAGUCUAGCCGGUAUGAAAAGCUUACGGCAGGGAUGCUCAAAGGUCUGCCUUUCUCCCCGAAAGGAGCCACCCCUUCUGGCUUCCAGCGACACAGUUUGUUCUUUCUGAAACUUCAGCUGAAGGAAGCCCUGGCUGGCAGUAAUCGAUAUGUCACAUCUGCCUGGUUCCAGUGUAGCUUUAGGUUCUGAAGAUAAAUAAAAGAAAGUCUUUCAACAUGAAGAUUGGCCCUUUACUGAAACAGCAAGAUUGACAAGACUACAAAUUUAAACCAUUUAGAAAAGAAAUACUCGAAGCAGA